AUGUCACAGAUGAGUGUGCAUGUGAAUUUUUUUCAGAGAAUAAACCACCAUAUUUUAUGUUCAUUUGACAUUUUUUGUAGGCUUACCAGCAGGGCCGUGCACAGGGUGGCUAGAGCCACUGAUCCUUUGCCCUCAUCGGCUGAGGUGCCCAUCUCACCAAUCACCCCAGCUCAAAGCUGUCUGUUACCGCUCCCCGAUAGAUCCGCUGAUUCCGCUAAUCCGCUCUGUGUUUCCCGCCCGCUCCGUAGCAUGACUCACAAUCUGUGUGCCGUUCUCUGGAGAGUGGAGACCACAGUUCCCGAAACUCAUUGCAUUACCAGCAGAAACAGGCCUCCGAAGAACAGUGAGACAAACAAGAGAAACAUGAACAACUAUAAAGUUUUACAAUACAUCCAGGUAACAACACACAGUUCUCAGUUUAAAAAAGUAUAUUUAUUUAGCUCCUGUUUUUUUUUUCUAUGUAUUUUUCUUUCCUUUCUUGUUGCAUUUUCUUUGAAUCUAACUCUUCCCUGGGAUCUUGUUUUCAGCUCCCCUUGAGUGUGCAGGGGUCCUGAUGCCAUACAGGGUAAAAACAUUGUGUUAAGCUGUGGGAUCGUUUCACAGCCACGGUGCUUCUUAUUUACACUCUAUCCAGCACUGCUGUGAGUACAACCGAGCGCAGAAACAAAGCGGAGCUCGACUGGUGCUGGAGUUCAUCCGUCUGCGAGAACAAACAGAAAUUAAAGUAUCCCACGUCUCCAUAUCCUCUGCCCUGGUUUGUGUUGGGCAGCUGCCAACACAGCGAGGGAGAAUAAUAGAGUGAAGUAUUUCUUUAAUGUGUAGAGUGUUAACAUUUACUCUCUUUUAACCAUCUCUGGCACACAAGGGAUCCUAAAUGCUGGAAAUACAGAGGUUUUGUUCUUUCCUUCAGGGAAAAUGUAACUUUCUCGAUGAAAGGUUAUCAUCAAAGUUUAAUAUGUUGUGGGUUUUAAAUAUCUUACACAGUUGUGUUUCAUUGGUCCGAAAUCCUACUGCGUUUAACUAUUUGAUAGGUUCUGAUUGGCUUUGAAUGUGCCUAUCAUGUAACACUUUUGUUUUGAUUAUUGGUGUGCAAGUGAUGUAAUGCUACAUUUCUCCAAAUCUGUUCUGAUGAAGAAACAAACUCAUCUAAUGUACAUCUUGGAUGGCCUGAGGGUAGAGAAAUUUUGGUUGCACUUUAUUUUACAGUAUGUGUACUUACAUUUACUUAUAGUGUACUUACAGUGUAUUUAUCUAAGAAAGUUCUGGUAAUAUAAGGUAACUACAUGGGGUAGGGUUAGGUUUAGGGGUAGGUUCAGGGUUAGUACCUAGUUAUUACAUAGUAAUUGUAAUUACUAUAAUAAGUACAUAGUAUGUACAUGAGUAACAGGACUGUAAAAUAAAGUGCUACCGAAAUUUUUUAUCA
ensembl:lncRNA